CAAUAGCGUAUAUUAAAGCUGUUGCGGUUAAAAAGCUCGUAGUUGGAUUUCUGUCAAGGACAACUGGUCCGCCCCUCGGGUGAGCACAUAGUUUGGUCUUGGCAUCUUGUUGGAAACUGUUGCUGCACUUGGUUGUGUGGCGCAGUGUCCAGCACUUUCACUUUGAGGAAAUUGGAGUGUUUCAAGCAGGCACAUGCCUUUGGACACAGUAGCAUGGAAUAAUUAGAUUGGGCUUUUGCUCCAACUUGUCGGUUUCUGGAGCUGAGGUGAGAAUUAAUGGGGAUUGUUGGGGGCAUCCGAAUUUAGCCGUCAGAGGUGAAAUUCUUGGAUCUGCUAAAGACGGACAACUGCGAAAGCGUCUGCCCAGGAUGUUUUCAUUGA
rnacentral:rRNA from 1 species